rnacentral:rRNA from 1 species
UACGGAAGGGGCAAGCGUUGUUCGGAAUUCCUGGGCGUAAAGCGUGCGCAGGCUGUUUUGUAAGCCAGAUGUGAAAUCCCCGGGCUUAACCUGGGAAUGGCAUUUGGGACUGCAAAGCUUGAGUGUGGCAGAGGGGACUGGAAUUCCUGGUGUAGCAGUGAAAUGCGUAGAGAUCAGGAGGAAUACCGAUGGCGAAGGCAGGUCCCUGGGCUGACACUGACGCUCAUGCACGAAAGCGUGGGGAGCAAACAGG